rnacentral:rRNA from 1 species
AACGAACGCUGGCGGCAGGCCUAACACAUGCGAGUCGAGCGCGCCCUUCGGGGUGAGCGGCGGACGGGUGAGUAACGCGUGGGAACGUGCCCUUUUCUACGGAAUAGCCUCGGGAAACUGAGAGUAAUACAGUAUACGCCCUUUGGGGGAAAGAUUUAUCGGAAAAGGAUCGGCCCGCGUUGGAUUAGGUAGUUGGGGGGGUAAUGGCCUACCAAGCCGACGAUCCAUAGCUGGUUUGAGAGGAUGAUCAGCCACACUGGGACUGAGACACGGCCCAGACGCCUACGGAAGGCAGCAGUGGGGAAUCUUAGACAAUGGGGGCAACCCUGAUCUAGCCAUGCCGCGUGAGUGAUGAAGGGCUUAGUGUUGUAAAGCUCUUUCAGCUGGGAAGAUAAUGACGGUACCAGCAGAAGAAGCCCCGGCUAACUCCGUG